rnacentral:rRNA from 1 species
UACUCGAGCGGCGAACGGGUGAGUAACACGUGAGCAACCUGCCCUAGGCUUUGGGAUAACCCCGGGAAACCGGGGCUAAUACCGAAUAGGACCACCGUCCGCAUGGACGGUGGUGGAAAGUUUUUCGGCCUGGGAUGGGCUCGCGGCCUAUCAGCUUGUUGGUGGGGUGAUGGCCUACCAAGGCGACGACGGGUAGCCGGCCUGAGAGGGCGACCGGCCACACUGGGACUGAGACACGGCCCAGACUCCUACGGGAGGCAGCAGUGGGGAAUAUUGCACAAUGGGCGGAAGCCUGAUGCAGCGACGCCGCGUGAGGGAUGACGGCCUUCGGGUUGUAAACCUCUUUCAGCAGGGACGAAGCGUAAGUGACGGUACCUGCAGAAGAAGCGCCGGCCAACUACGUGCCAGCAGCCGCGGUAAGACGUAGGGCGCGAGCGUUGUCCGGAUUUAUUGGGCGUAAAGAGCUCGUAGGCGGCUUGUCGCGUCGACUGUGAAAACCCGCAGCUCAACUGCGGGCCUGCAGUCGAUACGGGCAGGCUAGAGUUCGGUAGGGGAGACUGGAAUUCCUGGUGUAGCGGUGAAAUGCGCAGAUAUCAGGAGGAACACCGGUGGCGAAGGCGGGUCUCUGGGCCGAUACUGACGCUGAGGAGCGAAAGCGUGGGGAG